CACCUAACAGCUAGCUAAACAACCAAA
rnacentral:rRNA from 1 species